rnacentral:rRNA from 1 species
AAAGCGUGCGCAGGCGGUUAUGUAAGACAGAGGUGAAAUCCCCGGGCUCAACCUGGGAACUGCCUUUGUGACUGCAUAGCUAGAGUACGGUAGAGGGGGAUGGAAUUCCGCGUGUAGCAGUGAAAUGCGUAGAUAUGCGGAGGAACACCGAUGGCGAAGGCAAUCCCCUGGACCUGUACUGACGCUCAUGCACGAAAGCGUGGGGAGCAAACAGGAUUAGAUACCCUAGU